UACAGGGGGUGCAAACGUUGCUCGGAAUCAUUGGGCGUAAAGAGCUCGUAGGCGGUUUGUCACGUCUGCUGUGAAAUCCCGAGGCUCAACCUCGGGCCUGCAGUGGGUACGGGCAGACUGGAGUGCGGUAGGGGAGAAUGGAAUUCCUGGUGUAGCGGUGGAAUGCGCAGAUAUCAGGAGGAACACCGAUGGCGAAGGCAGUUCUCUGGGCCGUAACUGACGCUGGGGAGCGAAAGCGUGGGGAGCGAACAGG
rnacentral:rRNA from 1 species